rnacentral:rRNA from 1 species
CCUACGGGUGGCAGCAGUGAGGAAUAUUGGUCAAUGGACGCAAGCCUGAACCAGCCAUGCCGCGUGCGGGAAGACGGCUCUAUGAGUUGUAAACCUCUUUUGUACGAGGGCAAACGCGGAUACGUGUCUCCGUCUGAAAGUAUCUUAAGAAAAAGGAUCGGCUAACUCCGUGCCAGCAGCCGCGGUAAUACGGAGGAUUCGAGCGUUAUCCGGAUUUAUUGGGUUUAAAGGGUGCGUAGGCGGCCUGUUAAGUCAGCGGUAAAAUCCCGGGGUUAAACUCCGGCGCGCCGUUGAAACUGGCGGGCUAGAGAGUGAGAGCAGUAGGCGGAAUGCAUGGUGUAGCGGUGAAAUGCUUAGAGAUCACACAGAACACCGAUUGCGAAGGCAGCUUACCGG